rnacentral:lncRNA from 1 species
UAUAACUAACAGUGUAUUUAUUAUAUAUAUGUAUAUAUAAUAUUUAAUAAAUAUAGGACCAAACAAACCAAAGAGGUAUUAGUUAUGUGACAUUAUAAUUGUAUAUUAGUUCUAAGUAGUUUAGAAACACAUAUAGCAGGGUGGUAUUAUGGUAGAACUAGCUGCUAAUGUCUACACAAUUAAAUAAAUAACCAUGAGGGUCAAUGGGGUACAUUUCGUUUCAUGCAUUGCUGGCUUUGCCUGUUGCUCGAUAAUGCUCUAUUCAUUUAUAAGAUCAUAUUUUAAGUCAAGUCGCACUUAAUUGUACUUUCUCUUAUUCUUUUUUAAGUAAUCCAAUAUUUUUAAAUUCUAAGCUAGAUGAAUGAUUCACCAAAACGUUAGUUCUUAAUUAGUGAAUCUCGUUGAAACAUAUGAGUUGUUAAUAAAAAAAAAAGCAAGAAGUCUCUAGUUCGACUUUAGUAUAUGAAUGGUAAGAAACAAAUUCUUUACAACAUUUAACCAACCAAACUGGUCAAAAUCUGUUAUGUACCACAAACCACACCUAAUGAUUAUUAACUGGUUUAGUUCAGUAUCCUUCCUCUGUGCCGAUGAACUAAUAGGUUACUUGAGCUAUACAAAGUAAAACCAAUUUUCAUAAUAACAUAAUUAUUAAUCGUUUGUUUGUUGUUUAGUAUCCACCUCUCUGUAACUUUUAUCAGUCUCUGUAAUCUUGAAACAACCACUAUAUAUUUUUCAUAAAGUAUUGUUAGUAUAAUUAUUUCGACUGUGGUACUACAACAAAGAAUUUAUCAAUUUAUGCGCCUUAGACCUAAAGAUGAUGAUGUGGGUUAAUAAUUAUUUUUUAAAAAUGUUGUAAAAGACUUAAGAAAAAUAUUAACAUUUAUUAAAUCAACCUACCUAUAUGUAAUAAUUAGUGAAUAGUCAAUGUUAACACCAACAAUAUUGAAGGUAAACUUCUUAAAAUACUUUAUGGUGUUGGAUGAAAAAGGAAAAAGUACAUAUCAUUUCAAUCACCGUUGUAGUUGUUGAGAAGUUACUACAGCUAAGAUUUCUUACAACUGCACAUAGCAUUUAUUAUUACUUUUACACUGUUUAAGAAAUCUCGAGAAUAACUAUACAUAAAAAUAUCGAAAAUGUAAAUUUGUAUACUCAAAUGUGUUUGAAGUAAGUGGGAGAAAAUAUUUUGUAAAAAUGUAUACCCAUAGAAGAUCCGAUAGAAGAAAAUCCACAAUUAAUAUUUGCGUGAUUGAACGGUACUCUCUUCAAUGCCUCACAUGAGUUUUGCACCCUCUCUUUCUAACACAUUUUGUUUUCUUCUAUUUUCCUAUAUUUAUCCCAAAAAUUAUCCAAUGUAUCACGCAAACUAAGGAAAACAGAAAAUAAAUUCCAAAAGACAAAAUGAUGAAGGUGUUGGUAAAUAAAGUUAAAAUGCACGUAAAUGAAAUGAUGUAUUUAUUUCACAACAAUGGGUUGAACAUCAGAUUGGCUAUCUUCUAAUCUUUCUACUUUCAGUUUACAUCUCUGGAACUCUAGAAUAUUGAACCUUCAAGGAUACUUCGAGAAACACGCUCUUACAUUCUUCUAUACUAUUGAUUGACCAUAAGUUUUCUAGUAACAGUGAAAUUAUGUCUAGGAACUCCAUGAAAACUCAUUGUAUAUUAACAUAAUUAUUUAUGCGAAAUGAGUUUAAGAGUGAUCAUGUGCUGAGACUAUAUAUUUAUUUGAUUCAGUCGACAUAGACAGCAUUUUCUUAAAAUAUAUUGUUUGUUGCUAGAUACACACAUGAACUGAUGCUCCUCUAGUAUAUAUAGUUGUGCAAGUUGUUAUUAAUUAGUGAAUCUCGUUGAAACAUAUGAGUUGUUAAUAAAAAAAAAAAGCAAGAAGUCUCUAGUUCGACUUUAGUAUAUGAAUGGUAAGAAACAAAUUCUUGACAACAUUUAACCAACCAAACUGGUCAAAAUCUGUUAUGUACCACAAACCACACCUAAUGAUUAUUAACUGGUUUAGUUCAGUAUCCUUCCUCUGUGCCGAUGAACUAAUAGGUUACUUGAGCUAUACAAAGUAAAACCAAUUUUCAUAAUAACAUAAUUAUUAAUCGUUUGUUUGUUGU